UACGAAGGGGGCUAGCGUUGUUCGGAAUUACUGGGCGUAAAGAGCGUGUAGGCGGCUCGAUAAGUCUGCUGUGAAAGUCCAGGGCUCAACCCUGGAAGGCCGGUGGAAACUGUCGGGCUAGAAUCCGGAAGAGGCGAGUGGAAUUCCCGGUGUAGCGGUGAAAUGCGCAGAUAUCGGGAGGAACACCAAUGGCGAAGGCAGCUCGCUGGGACGGUAUUGACGCUGAGACGCGAAAGCGUGGGGAGCAAACAGG
rnacentral:rRNA from 1 species